rnacentral:rRNA from 1 species
GAUGAACGCUGGCGGCGUGCCUAAUACAUGCAAGUCGAGCGAACGGACUAGAAGCUUGCUUUUCUGAUGUUAGCUGCGGACGGGUGAGUAACACGUGGAUAACCUACCUAUAAGACUGGGAUAACUUCGGGAAACCGGAGCUAAUACCGGAUAAUAUUUUGAACCGCAUGGUUCAAAAGUGAAAGACGGUCUUGCUGUCACUUAUAGAUGGAUCCGCGCUGCAUUAGCUAGUUGGUAAGGUAACGGCUUACCAAGGCAACGAUGCAUAGCCGACCUGAGAGGGUGAUCGGCCACACUGGAACUGAGACACGGUCCAGACUCCUACGGGAGGCAGCAGUAGGGAAUCUUCCGCAAUGGGCGAAAGCCUGACGGAGCAACGCCGCGUGAGUGAUGAAGGUCUUCGGAUCGUAAAACUCUGUUAUUAGGGAAGAACAUAUGUGUAAGUAACUGUGCACAUCUUGACGGUACCUAAUCAGAAAGCCACGGCUAACUACGUG